GAUGAACGCUGGCGGCGUGCCUAAUACAUGCAAGUCGAGCGAACAGACGAGGAGCUUGCUCCUCUGACGUUAGCGGCGGACGGGUGAGUAACACGUGGAUAACCUACCUAUAAGACUGGGAUAACUUCGGGAAACCGGAGCUAAUACCGGAUAAUAUAUUGAACCGCAAGGUUCAAUAGUGAAAGACGGUUUUGCUGUCACUUAUAGAUGGAUCCGCGCCGCAUUAGCUAGUUGGUAAGGUAACGGCUUACCAAGGCGACGAUGCGUAGCCGACCUGAGAGGGUGAUCGGCCACACUGGAACUGAGACACGGUCCAGACUCCUACGGGAGGCAGCAGUAGGGAAUCUUCCGCAAUGGGCGAAAGCCGGACGGAGCAACGCCGCGUGAGUGAUGAAGGUCUUCGGAUCGUAAAACUCUGUUAUUAGGGAAGAACAAAUGUGUAAGUAACUAUGCACGUCUUGACGGUACCUAAUCAGAAAGCCACGGCUAACUACGCG
rnacentral:rRNA from 1 species